AUUCCAGAAAUGACCAAGUUGUCAGGAUACUUAUUGCUUGGCUCACAACGGAUAAUUCUUUCACCAAUCAUCAGGUCAGAGAAGUCAUUUAUCAUAAAUGCAACAUCACUUGGGUCGCAUUUUAAAAAGGCUAAUCCUCUACUGUAUUUACGAGGCCAUUGGACUUUAGCUCUGAGAGCUGACCGGAACAUCUUUUGAUCACUGCCGUCGCAUUUUAAAAAGGCUACUCCUCUACUGUAUUUACGAGGCCAUUGGACUUUAGCUCUGAGAGCUGACCGGAACAUCUUUUGAUCACUGCCAUGCAUGCUGCUCCUAGAAGGAACUACUUU
rnacentral:lncRNA from 1 species